GACGAACGCUGGCGGCGUGCCUAAUACAUGCAAGUAGAACGCUGAAGAGAGGAGCUUACUCUUCUUGGAUGAGUUGCGAACGGGUGAGUAACGCGUAGGUAACCUGCCUUGUAGCGGGGGAUAACUAUUGGAAACGAUAGCUAAUACCGCAUAACAAUGGAUGACACAUGUCAUUUAUUUGAAAGGGGCAAUUGCUCCACUACAAGAUGGACCUGCGUUGUAUUAGCUAGUAGGUGAGGUAAUGGCUCACCUAGGCGACGAUACAUAGCCGACCUGAGAGGGGGAUCGGCCACACUGGGACUGAGACACGGCCCAGACUCCUACGGGAGGCAGCAGUAGGGAAUCUUCGGCAAUGGGGGCAACCCUGACCGAGCAACGCCGCGUGAGUGAAGAAGGGUUUCGGAUCGUAAAGCUCUGUUGUAAGUCAAGAACGGGUGUGAGAGUGGAAAGUUCACACUGUGACGGUAGCUUACCAGAAAGGGACGGCUAACUACGUG
rnacentral:rRNA from 1 species